UGGGUGACCUGCCCUCAGCUCUGGGAUAAGCCUGGGAAACUGGGUCUAAUACCGGAUACGAGUCCGAGCGGCAUCACACGGACUAGAAAGUUUUUUCGGCUAAGGAUGGGCUCGCGGCCUAUCAGCUUGUUGGUGGGGUAAUGGCCCACCAAGGCGACGACGGGUAGCCGGCCUGGAGAGGGCGACCGGCCACACUGGAAUUGAGACACGGUCCAGACUCCGUACGGGGAGCAGCA
rnacentral:rRNA from 1 species